UACAGAGGAGCCAAGCGUUGUCCGGAUUGACUGGGCGUAAAGCGCACGCAGGCGGACGCGCGCGUGGGGUGUGAAAUCUGGCCGCUUAACGGCCAGGCGCCAUCCCAUACGGCGCGUCUGGAGUGAUGCAGAGGUCGAUGGAAUUGCCGGUGUAGUGGUGAAAUGCGUAGAGAUCGGCAGGAACACCCAGGGGGAAACCAGCCGACUGGGCAUCUACUGACGCUGAGGUGCGAGAGCGUGGGGAGCGAACCGG
rnacentral:rRNA from 1 species